rnacentral:ncRNA from 1 species
GGGUAGAGGUGCAAUUUUAAUGAGUACUUUGCAAGAGGAUGCCAGUCCGUUUGCAUUGGAAGGGAAAGGUAAAGUUGCCGAAGGGGAUGUGUGGCAGGCAUCCGCCUGACUUUGCGUCUGAAUAAGCGUAAGGUUGUCAUCAUGUAGUUGAUGGAGAGCUAUCGG